UGAGGAAUUUUGCGCAAUGGGGGAAACCCUGACGCAGCAACGCCGCGUGAGUGAUGAAGGCCUUCGGGUCGUAAAGCUCUGUCAGGCGGGAAGAAAGUGUUCCGUGUUAAUAACACGGGAUAUUGACGGUACCGCCGAAGGAAGCACCGGCUAACUCCGUGCCAGCAGCCGCGGUAAUACGGAGGGUGCAAGCGUUAUUCGGAUUUAUUGGGCGUAAAGGGCGCGCAGGCGGCUUUUUAAGUCAGAUGUGAAAACCCCCGGCUGAACCGGGGAAGUGCAUUGGAAACUGGGAAGCUUGAGGAUGGGAGAGGAAAUCGGAAUUCCUGGUGUAGCGGUGAAAUGCGUAGAUAGCAGGAGGAACACCGGUGGCGAAGGCGGAUUUCCGGACCAAUACUGACGCUGAGGCGCGAAGGUGCGGGGAGCAAACA
rnacentral:rRNA from 1 species